rnacentral:tRNA from 1 species
GCCUGGGUGGCUCAGUUGGUUGAGCGUCCGACUUCGGCUCAGGUCAUGAUCUCACAGUUUGUGGGUUCAAGCCCCGCGUCGGGCU